rnacentral:snRNA from 1 species
AUGCUUGCUUCGGCAGCACAUAUACUAAAAUUGAAACGAUACAAAGAUUAGCAUGGCCCUUGGGCAAGGAUGACACGGAAAUUCGUGAAGCAUUCCAUAUUAUA